rnacentral:rRNA from 1 species
GACGUAGGGCGCGAGCGUUGUCCGGAUUUACUGGGCGUAAAGAGCGCGUAGGCGGUCUGUUAAGUGCACGAGUGAAAUCCCGGGGCUCACCUCCGGAACUGCUCUGCAUACUGGCAGACUUGAGGGUCGGAGAGGUUUGUGGAAUUCCUGGUGUAGCGGUGAAAUGCGUUGAUAUCAGGGAGGAACACCCAUGGCGAAGGCAGCAAACUGGCCGGCAUCUGACG